ACACUGCUGAGGAGUCCCAUAAUAGGAUGAAACGGACGUCUGGUAC
rnacentral:hammerhead_ribozyme from 1 species